CUUUUGCUUCUGACCGCCACAUACACUAACAGGAAUACCAACUGGGUGCCUGGGCACCUGGGCUGACCCAGAAGCGGAGGGAUCAAGCCCAGGCUGUCACAGCUCAGGUUCUGGGUCUUUUCAUUAAAAAGGCAUGGUCCAUCUUUUCAAUGUUUUGCCAAAGUGAGUGGGUCAAAGGCACCUCGUGUCAAAGUGUACGGUGGAAUUUAGAAGCGUUCGCCUAAUGGACAUAGAUCACUGUUUCUGCAAUAAUAGUGUUAAUUGCUUUCCGCGUCAGCUAAUAACCUUCAAACCCCCGUUAGUAAACGACUCAGUUAUCCGCAGGGGUCUAUCUAUGUAUUUAAAAACAAAACAAAACAAAACCAUGUUCCCCAAAUCGAGCCCAGCCCGUUCAGUAAUGUCGAUGGACAAGAAUCUGAUAUUGCUGAGUUGCUGUUCUGAUAUGGAUGUUUGUGUGGACUCAGCUACGGUGUCCCCAAAAUGUGCCUUUAUAGUGCUUCUAGGAGGGCUGCUGGAAGAUCAUUUCGCUUAAUUCCGGAGCAGUGUUCCAGUACUCAGUCCUACUGCGGGACGCAGGGAAAACUUCAGUUCAGACUUCUAGUGCAAUGCCAAGAAUAACAAAACAGCCAUCUCCCCCUGCCAUGAAAAAAGGGGUGGGAAGAACCAUCAGCCUGUUUCCUAUCUUCCUGAGCUCAGGGCCAGCAGGAAAGACACUCACCGCUGGUUGGCUCGGUUUUUUUUUUUUUUUCCUUCCCAUUCAAGGAAUCUACAGCUAUGGUAAACAGAACAGCAUCUUAGGUACUGACAUAUUCUUUACCUUGUCUAACAGUGCACAGCAAAGCACAUUUCAGGAGCGUAUUGUUUAGUACACAGCAGGGGCCUGAUAAAUAUCGUAUCGUGAAAGUGAGAUAAACAGAACAGGAUAAACAGGGAAAGCUACCUGGUUUAAAUCGCAUAAGAAAUACAAGGGAAAUAAUUACAGGUGACGUGGUCAGGACAGGCGCAACCUUUUGAUAUGAAGAGUUUUGAGAUGUGAGCGUAGCAGAAGUUCUUAUCCUUGUGUAGGGGGAGCAGAUUGAACCUGUGAGCACCUGCCUCGUGCAUGUGCAUACAUACCUCAGUACCUACCUUACUCGCUUCUGCAUCCUGAGAAGGGCACCCACAGUGCUAACUUAUAUAUAGCCUAGCAUCGCCCAUCACAUGAUUAGCUCAGUGAGGCCUAUCGGUGUGUAGCUCGUCACCAAGCCUGUGCUGUAUUAGACAACAUCUUAGCUUUUUGUUUUUGUUUUCCUCUUGCCAUGACAGCAUACCCAGGCAAAAGCAACUUGAUGGGAAAGGGUUUGUUUGGCUCAUAGUUCCAGGUUCUAGUUCAUCACUACAGGGAAGUCAAGAUGCAGAGAUGUGAAGCAGCUAGUCACUCCACACCCAUGGUCAAGAACAGAAAGCAAUGAAUUAGUGAGUGGACACGAUUGCUCGGCUGGCACUCCGAUUUUCACUCAAUCCAUGACCAGCCCAUGAAACUGUGCAGAUACAUCCAGGAUGGGGCUUCCCAACUAAGAAAAUGCCUCAUAGGCACACCCACAGACAUGCCCACAGGACAACCCAACCAGGAUUCUUCCUUGAGAUUCUCAGUCAUCCCAGGGCUCUUGCUGAGGAGGACAGCAGUGGCAGUGAAGGGUCAUAUCUCAGCAGGUGUCUGAUAAACACCUAGAAGAGGACCGGGCUCUAUCCUCCUUUGAAUACAAUUCGAGAUGUUUCCUUGAAAAUCGCAGUGAAGAUUGUGACAGAUGCGUACAGAGAAAGGAUGGCCACUGUUUAUCCUGAACCCCAAAACAAAGAAGAAUUUGUCUGCUCCCAGAUGUACAGCACUAAUUAUGACCAGAUCCUACCUGAUUGCUAUUCUUGGCCUGAAGCAGUCCAGAAAGUCCAGACCAAAGUUAGUCAGUAAACACAACAGCUAGACUUUUUAACCUUACCAAUAAGAUCUUGAAGUUCUCAUGAUUUCUAAGGUUUGGAAUCUUUUAUGAUGAUUCAUAGUGUGCUUAGAAUAAGGUGAUUUUAGUUUAACAAUCAAACCCAUGGAAGUAUAUUAAUAUAAAUUAGGAUAAACUUCACACUGUACAGGUUUGUUUCACUUACUCUGAUUAUUUAUGUUUUCUGUUUUAUUAUUCUCUUUAUAAAUUCUGUUUAAAAGCUGUUGUACCUGCUGCUGAGAAACUCAUCACUGAUAAUGUAGGAAGCUAAAGGAAGACCCAAACUAGUAAUAAAUUAAUAUAGUGUAACUUGAUCACGUUAAUGCCUACAGUUCUUUCUUGAUCAUUUUGUUAAAAUCUUUAAAAAGUGAAGAUAAACACACACUUAGGUAUAGCUGAACUUUUACUAAACAGAAACACUGCUUGGCUGCCUGGAGAAAAUCCUUCUCAGGCCUUGUGUUCCAGGCCUCUCUUCGCCUUGUUCCUUUUGCACAACUGAACUCUUGAACGCCUCUCCGAAAGCUCACUGCUGUUUACAAAACCUUGUGCAGCCUUAGAUCUUAAUACUCCUUUGUCAUUGUUACAGCCCCAAAGCUCUCAUUGCUUCGGUUCUGAGUCCCAGACUCUCCGCAGAAGCUCUUUUCCUCAGCCCUGACCAAACCUUUUCCCAGCUCCUGGCCCCGCUGAGAGACUGGGAGGUUUGGUUAGCACAGCUGGGCAGUGAGAAGGCUUCAAGGAGAGUCCUUGCGAAGGGGCCCCCUGAGGAGCCCACCUCCACCGCAAGGGUGUCAGAAGCAAGACCAUGGUUCCCAGACAAGCGAGGGGCCCCUGAGAAUCACUUGCCCUAAUGUCCCUGUGGUUAGCUCAGGUGACCGACAACUCAAAGCCUGAGUGACCACAUCUCCCAUGCCUAGCUUUCCAUCAGAUACGAAAAUAUGUUGAUUUCAGAACCAUUCUAUGGGAAGGAAUAAUCAUUUCCCCAGGCUGUAUUAAUUUACUGGACAAGUUGGUGAUGGAAUGGAUGGAAACAACGUUAAAUUCCUAAGCUCGGGUUUGAAAACAUUCUGUAUUUCUAGAGACACUUCUGCUUUUGAAGUAAUGCUUUAAAGCAUGGAUGGUGUUUAAGCUGGGCUUCUCUAUAAAGUGACCCCCUUGAAGGUGAAGACCACAGAUUCUUUCAGGUGUGAGUUAAGAGUGGAGACUUCAAAUGGCAACUUUGGUUAAGAGUUUCCUUUGUGUAGUUAUUGGGAAAGAUUCAGAAUUCCUAUCUAUUUCUUGUCUGUUUCCAUGUUGUCAAAUAGUUUUAACUGAAUGUAUUUACCUAUGCAAAACAUUUAUUAAAGCAUAGAAAAUAUGAA